UACGUAGGGUGCGAGCGUUAAUCGGAAUUACUGGGCGUAAAGCGCGCGUAGGUGGUUUGUUAAGUUGGAUGUGAAAUCCCCGGGCUCAACCUGGGAACUGCAUUCAAAACUGACUGACUAGAGUAUGGUAGAGGGUGGUGGAAUUUCCUGUGUAGCGGUGAAAUGCGUAGAUAUAGGAAGGAACACCAGUGGCGAAGGCGACCACCUGGACUAAUACUGACACUGAGGUGCGAAAGCGUGGGGAGCAAACAGG
rnacentral:rRNA from 1 species